UCAUCAAAUAGGUCAGCCUGUAAUUAAUUCUAUUUAUUGAGAGAUGUAUUAAACUGAAAUUUCUCUGCUGAUGUGUGUCAGGUUCAAGAGUAAAUGUUCUCAAAGGGGAAUUGCUGUUCAAAACUCAGAAGGAACAGAAACCUUUCAGGAUAAGGGAAGCCAGGUGAUAUCCAUUGCAUGAUUCACAGCAGGAACCUAAACUGGGUCUCUUUCAUACCCCCGACUGAGCUGAUUUCUUGCUAGACCAAACUCUUUCCCUCUGAAAAACCUGAAGGAACAAGUUCUUAUUUCAGUCCUGGAUAAGGAAAAAAAAAAAAAAAAGAGCAGUGUAGCCUUCUCAUUUCCUGGCUUUGAGCUUUAAGGACAAGGUGAGCAAGUGAUUUCCUCCAUUCCCUAAUUUAGUUAAGCAUGUUGCACAAGCUGGGUUCAAUUUAAACACCGAAGGAAAGGUUCCAUCCAUAAAUGACAUGAUUUCUACUAGAAAAGAGGGAGAAAAGCACAACUCGAGUUGUACCCUAAGGUGUUGGGCAGAGAUCACCUGGAAAAUACCAUGGUCAUACCUCUCCCUCCAGAAGUUCUCCUUCCAUCUGCAUCAUCUGUCCAGGGGGAUUGCAGCUCACACAGACAGGGAGCAGCAAGAGGAAACAAAGGCUGGAGGACAUUCCAAAGGCUGGUCCAGGAGGAUGCACAUCACUGGCAGAGCCUGGAAAAUGGCCCAGAAAUCCCAGUGCAGCAGCAGCUGCAGUUCCAGUGGAUAUUUCAUGGGGAGGGGCUGUAACUCCCAGUAUUGCCCAGGGACCAAACACCAACACCUUGAGAGCUCAGGCAGUGGGGAGUGCUGGGGGAAGCAGCUUCCUUUUCCAAGCCAGAAAUCUGGGGUUAGAAAAAGGACUUUUUGUAAUACAUUUCCUCUUUCAUCAGAUCUGCUGCUCAGGGAGGAGUUGGAGAAGUCAGAGAUGCAACAUAAGGGCUCUCCAAGUUUGAGCCCAGCUGCACCACACAGAUAGUUUUAAUAUAUAUAUAUCUAUAGGUGCCUACCAUCUUAUUAGACUGAGCCAAGUCAAGCUGAGUUCUCAAGACAGUUAAUUUCAUAAUUCCCUCAUUUCAUGGGUGAAUUUCAUGCGUAGAAAUGCAAAGAAUUAGUGGGAUGAGUGCUCUUUGCGGGUAUAAGACCAAAUGAAAUCUGGAUGGAAGACAUUUUCUUCCAUGAAAAAUGUCAAGUUAUUUUUAGAAUUCUAGGGAGAAAAGAAACUUCAUCCUGGAAGGUCAAAAAUUUUAUUAAAAAGUCAGGAAAAUAAAUUCUUAGGGAAUGAAAGUUUUCCUGUUUCUACUUCACUAGAAGUUUAAUAACUUUUUAUCCUCUUUCUGCUAUUGCCCCUCUGAGUCACAUGUUCAGGGCAGUCUGUGUGUUCCCAGAAAGAGAAUUUCUCCAAAGGGUCUGGGAUUGCUAUUUGCUCAGUGAGUCAGUCCCACAGACAUAUCCAAGGUGGCUUUGAAGUUUAAGAAAAGCAAACAUUGCAAAGAUUGAGGUACAGAUAGUUGCAAGCUCUUUCCCUCAGUACAGGAAUCCUGCUCCGUGUCACUGCCCUCCACCUCCAGCCUUUCCAAAGUGAGGCAGAUGUGGUAUGAAUUGGCUGCUAAGAUGCAAAUAAAUAAAUAAAUAAAUAAAAUCCAGCAAUCUGCACUGCAAAUCCCAAACAAGCAGCUUUUCAAACCCAAGAACAUUUCCAGGGCCAUUAAUCACACACAGCUCGCUGCUACAGCAGGUGACCACAGGUUAAUAAAAAAGAGCUGGAAAUCAAACCCAAAAGUGAAAUGUGAUGGGAAACACACUCUCUUCCUCAUCCUUGGAUGGCAGGAGCUGAGCAGUUCUGUUGGUUCAGGUUUUUUGAGGGCAGUAGAGGGAGUUUUGUUCCUCGAGG